rnacentral:tRNA from 1 species
CCAUGAAUUGGCGGAGGCGCAGGUGGGCUUUCUGACAGCCCAGGUCACGCAGGCUCAGGCCCGGUUUCAGGAG